ACACCGGCAGCUCUAGUGGUAGCUGUUUUUAUUGGGCCUAAAGCGUUCGUAGCCGGUUUGGCAAGUCGCUGGUGAAAUCCUGUAGAUUAACUGUGGGUAUUGCUGGUGAUACUGUUGAACUUGAGGUCGGGAGAGGUUAGCGGUACUCCCAGGGCAGAGGUGAAAUUCUGUAAUCCUGGGAGGACAACCUGUGGCGAAGGCGGCUAACUAGAACGAACCUGACGGUGAGGGACGAAAGCUAGGGUCGCGUACCGGAUUAGAUUCCCGGGUAGUCCUAGCCGUAAACGAUGCGGACUUGGUGUUGGGAUGGCUUUGAGCCGCUUCGUUUCCGAAGUGAAGCUGUUAAGUCCGCCGCCUGGGAAGUACGGUCGCAAGACUGAAACUUAAAUGAAUUGGCGGGG
rnacentral:rRNA from 1 species